rnacentral:rRNA from 1 species
CUGAGAGGAUGACCAGCCACACUGGAACUGAGACACGGUCCAGACUCCUACGGGAGGCAGCAGUGGGGAAUAUUGCACAAUGGGCGCAAGCCUGAUGCAGCCAUGCCGCGUGUAUGAAGAAGGCCUUCGGGUUGUAAAGUACUUUCAGCGGGGAGGAAGGGAGUAAAGUUAAUACCUUUGCUCAUUGACGUUACCCGCAGAAGAAGCACCGGCUAACUCCGUGCCAGCAGCCGCGGUAAUACGGAGGGUGCAAGCGUUAAUCGGAAUUACUGGGCGUAAAGCGCACGCAGGCGGUUUGUUAAGUCAGAUGUGAAAUCCCCGGGCUCAACCUGGGAACUGCAUCUGAUACUGGCAAGCUUGAGUCUCGUAGAGGGGGGUAGAAUUCCAGGUGUAGCGGUGAAAUGCGUAGAGAUCUGGAGGAAUACCGGUGGCG